GACGAACGCUGGCGGCGUGCUUAACACAUGCAAGUCGAACGGAAAGGCCCUGCUUUUGUGGGGUGCUCGAGUGGCGAACGGGUGAGUAACACGUGAGUAACCUGCCCUUGACUUUGGGAUAACUUCAGGAAACUGGGGCUAAUACCGGAUAGGAGCUCCUGCUGCAUGGUGGGGGUUGGAAAGUUUCGGCGGUUGGGGAUGGACUCGCGGCUUAUCAGCUUGUUGGUGGGGUAGUGGCUUACCAAGGCUUUGACGGGUAGCCGGCCUGAGAGGGUGACCGGCCACAUUGGGACUGAGAUACGGCACAGACUCCUACGGGAGGCAGCAGUGGGGAAUAUUGCACAAUGGGCGGAAGCCUGAUGCAGCAACGCCGCGUGCGGGAUGACGGCCUUCGGGUUGUAAACCGCUUUCGCCUGUGACGAAGCGUGAAUGACGGUAAUGGGUAAAGAAGCACCGGCUAACUACGUG
rnacentral:rRNA from 1 species